GUGGAAAUGCUGUUGCUCAGUUACUCAGUGACUGUCAUAAUCCCUGGAUCAUGUUGAGCCUCUUCUGGAACUGAAUCAUCCCAGGGGGAAGUCCUAAUGACCUUGAUCACCACGCAGCCUGGGAGCAAGGAAGGCAAGAAGCUCUCCUGCAAUCAGAUCUGUUACCAGAGAUCCCCCCCACCUAUACAGAAGAGUCUCACAGAUAGUAAAGUCCAGUACUUACACAUGCACUUUACUGCUAGGCAUAAUUGCAGGCUGAAGGCUCAAAAUUAGUUCACCAGUGGAUAUUCUUGUACUCAUAAGUUCUGUAUGUGCCCUGUUAGCUCUGAGCUUUGCACGCUGACAAUUUCCUUUUAAAGAUAUCUCUGACACCUACCUACAUUUUAUUCUAUGCCUCAUGUUCUGAACUUAAUGCACAGUAUGUAGAAAUAUGAUUUUAUUUUCCAUUACCUGAGGGUGUGGACAGUUCUCCGCCAUUUCAUUCUGUUCAUUUUGAUAUCAGUAUAAAUCUUUCUACUGACAGCA